UUCGCGUUUCGUCGUCGACGGGUACCGAGAUCGCGAGACGGGAGGCGUCGCGCUACCGCGCGCUCGUCACUCGCUCCUUUCUYUAUUCGAUUCGGCGGCGAACGCGUGCACUUUUCUCCUGGUAGGACGUCGCGAUCCGUUGGGUGUCGGUCUAAGGUGGGACGGUGGAGCCCGCGAAUACGGUUCGCGCCGUCAUUUGCGGACCCGUCUCUCCCGGCCGACUCGCUCGACGGUACACGAAAGGUACGAGGCCGCUCCCGUAGCGUUCGACUCGCGUCAAGCGCGCCAGUAGUUUGUUGGCCAUCGGACCUGGUGCCGGUUCCGACCUCUGGUGACUGUUGGACGCGAAGUUUUCUCGAACAGACCUCGCUCGAAAUACCGAUCUGCGACGCUAUAGCUUUGGGUACUUUCAGGACCCGUCUUGAAACACGGACCAAGGAGUCUAGCAUGUGCGCGAGUCAUUGGGAAUUACUAAACCUAAAGGCGCAAUGAAAGUUAAAAGUUCGUCUCGCACGAACCGAGGGAAGAUGGGCGGUGUCGCCGUUAAAAGCGGCCGUCUCGCAUUCCCGGGGCGUCUCGUUCUCAUCGCGAGAAGAGGCGCACCAAGAGCGUACACGCUGGGACCCGAAAGAUGGUGAACUAUGCCUGGUCAGGACGAAGUCAGGGGAAACCCUGAUGGAGGUCCGUAGCGAUUCUGACGUGCAAAUCGAUCGUCGGAACUGGGUAUA
rnacentral:rRNA from 1 species